GGAUCAACAGGAAACCCCUAAGAGGAAAUACAAUAAAUAAAAGUACACAGAAACCAUAGUGGAAACACUUAAGAGUUAUAUUAAAGCAAAAUAACGUAAGAAACCACAGUAGAACAAGUAAAAAUCAAGGAGACCCUAGGUUCGAGAAGACAAACAGUUUUGAAAGCAGAAACUUAAAAUGAUGUAAGGAAUACUUUGAAAAUCUCAGAAAUAGCACGGAUCUAAAGUAGAUCUAGGAAGAACCAAGAACACCUCGAAAUGGCAUAGGGUUUUAGAUAAACCCUGGAAACGAGAAAGGCCUGAAAAAAGGGGCUGGUCCGAGUCGAGAUGGACUCAAAAGGAUAAGACACGCCGGAGAUAAGUCGGAGAUGACCGUAGAACUUGAACCGACAAAGGUCCAGGUUCGAUUCUUCGUGGCCAAGGUCUGGAACUUCAGUAAUCAAGUGCGAUGAGCCUUAGGAGAUUGGGGGUGGUGAAACCACCAUGGAUUUAGGUCAAAAAGUGGCUGGAGAAGGUGAAGGGAGCUCAUCAGAUAGGAGAGGAGGUGGAAGGUUCCAGAGAGAAUGAGAGAUAGAGAGACAGAGACGAGUGAGUGAAUGAGAGGGCAUUGGGGGAAU
rnacentral:lncRNA from 1 species